rnacentral:misc_RNA from 1 species
GAAAUUGCAAAAUAAAAAACAAGACAAAAAGGAGUAACUAUGGCAUAAAAUAUAAAAAGAAAAUAAACUCACAAUAUAUAUUCAGGAUCAGUUGCAUCGUGGAUGAGAAGAAUAUAUAAACACAUCCAAUCAUGAGCAUGCGAAUCCCAUGCAUGGUACACCAAAAAUCUCAUAGGAAACAUUCAUCUUGUAAAAGAAUCCAUUGACAUACGAUACUAAAGAGAAAAUCAGAUACGAACUCCUAAAACUUUUUUUUCCAGGCUGGCAGGACUGUUUUCUACAAACCUACUACCUACGAAUCAAAUUCAGUAUUUAAUAACUGACAGGGCUCAACUAACAGUAUUUUACGAAAAGCCGAUGACAAUAUCAAGCUAGUAUGAAAU